UCCCGAAUGGUGUAGUGGCUAACAUAUCGCGUUUUCACCGCGGGGCUCGGGGUUCGAUUCCCCGUUCGGGAG